GGUUUCCAAAAUCAUCAACUGACGGUGCAUUAAGCUCAGUGCUCCAUGUUCAAGAAUCCAAUCUAAGUUCAGACGAUUUUCACGAAGCCUUGUUCCUUCUUGAGCGCUCGCCAAAAGGUGGCAGUGGUUCCUCCAAGCGGCGGAAGAAGUCGAAGAAAGAACGUCACAAGGAUAAGGAAAACAGCAGUGGUACAGGAAGUUGUUCGAGUAAAGUGAAGGAAAUGAAAGAAGCCAGCUCUGCCUUAUAAGUGUGCCUGGUGUCUGUAUGAUGCUGAUGAUGGCAACAAGAGGAAUCAUGAGAAUGGAUGAGAGGGCCAGAGUCCAACCAAUCCAUUCAGCCCAGCUUGGGAGGUUUGUGUCUAAAAUCAACAUCAGAGACUGAGAAAAAUGAACUGAAAUAAUACUACUAAAGAAUAAAACACAAUUAAGGCAGGUUAGUGCACUGGAUGGCUUACCGUAAAACCACGAUACUGCUAUGGCUUCAAAAAGUGCAGAACAGAGAAGUGAGAUGCCAGCUGAGUAUGUGUCAAAUAAAUGGAACAUGUAGAUACCUCCCUGCAACGAGGAUGAUAUUAGUAACUUGAAAAUAUACUUGGCACACAGAAACAGAACACAAUGGGUGAGGAUAUUUCAUUUGCUGAUCACGAUGCCAACAAGCUUGUUAAGUUAUUCUUUUCUUAUCUUUUAUUUUUUACCAUAAAUGUUAUAGUAAAUUAUGAAAACAGUUAAA